AGCAGGAUUGACAAUCCUUCUGCGCCUAACCCAUUCCAGUCCAUUGACUAGAGCUACUCCAUUCCCUGUCAGUGCCUGUAUUGCAGGACUACACUUGGGCUUCACAUAGAAACCAAACUUGUUGGAUAGUAUUUGCUUGGCCAGAUCAGGGUCCGUUAUGCAAACCACUGGCCUCGUCCCAAACCAAUAAAGAAUUGUUUCUCCUGGCUCAUAAAAUACAUCAAUGCUCUAUCAUAUACAACACUACAGUACCUAACUAGUAGGCUAGUAGCUUAUUAAUCUCAUGAAUUAUAUCUAGCAGAGAACAUGCGUGAGGAUGAGGCCAAAAACACAGCUACGCAGUAAGACCACAGGCCCUCAAAUUAUUUAUUAUUAUUCUUGUUAAAACAGUGCAAAAGUUGAAAGCAUUAAUCAAGUUUAGUGCCUCAAUUAAAAACUGCAAAUGGGGUAUCCCUUUAUGGAUGUUGCUGUUCCUUUAUUCUUCACUACCACUGCUUACCCAAUAUUUUAAUAGCAAGAUACUUUGACAUAAAAGGACAGCUUUUUGUAUUAAAUAAUGUUAGUCGCUUUAAAAUCCGGAUUUCCAGAGAAAUUUAUU
rnacentral:misc_RNA from 1 species